CAUCGUUUGCAAGAAAGCUAUGAAUUCACAUAUUACAAAGAGUAAUCGUGUUUUGUUAGAUACUUUUUGUAAUAUGUGAAUUUUUUUCUUUCGAUGAAAUAUGAUAUUAUUAAAUACAAUUAAUGGAGGUCAUUUAAAUGACACAAGGUACAGUAAAAUGGUUUAACGCAGAAAAAGGUUUUGGUUUCAUCGAAGUUGAAGGCGGAAACGACGUAUUCGCUCACUUCUCAGCAAUCCAAGGUGACGGUUUCAAAUCACUUGAAGAAGGUCAAAAAGUUGAAUUCUCAGUAGAAGACGGCCAACGUGGACCACAAGCUACAAACAUCGUAAAACUUUAAUUUUAAUGAUGUAACCAUACAAAAAGAGGCACCCUUUCAUUAGGAGGCCUCUUUU
rnacentral:sRNA from 1 species